UGCCAGCAGCUGCGGUAAUACGUAGAGUGCAAGCGUUAUCCGGAUUUAUUGGGCGUAAAGCGUUUCGUAGGCUGUUAACUAAGUUUCACUUCAAAGACCGGAGCUCAACUUCGGGAAGGGGUGAAAUACUAUUUGACUUGAAAUACUCCGGGGUUACUGGAACUGUCGGUGUAGGGGUGAAAUCCGUUGAUAUCGACAGGAACUCCAAGGGCGAAGGCAGGUAACUAGGAGAUAUUUGACGCUGAGGAACGACAGCUAGGGGAGCGAAAGGGAUUAGAGACCCCUGUAGUCCUAGCCGUAAACGAUGCUCGCUAGCUCGCCGAGUUUGACUUGGUGGGCGUAAGCUAACGCGUGAAGCGAGCCGCCUGGGGAGUACGAACGCAAGUUUAAAACUCAAAGGAAUUGACGGGGACCUGCACAACCAGUGGAGCAUGUGGUUUAAUUCGAAACAAACCGAAGAACCUUACCCGGGUUUGACAUCCAGCACUUAAUGCCUAUGUAGAAAUACUGUAGGAAUCGUAAUUUAUUAUGAAGUGCCGGACAGGUGUUGCAUGGCUGUCGUCAGCUCGUGCCGUGGGGUGUUCCCUUCAGUGGGGUAACGAGCGCAACCCCCGUCUCGUGUUGAAUAUUCACGAGAGACUUUCGACCUUUUGGUUGAAGGAAGUGGGGACGACGUCAAGUCAGCAUGGCCCUUAUAUCCGGGGCGACACACAUGCUACAAUGGAGCCGACAAUGGGUUGCCAAGCCGUAAGGCGGAGCUAAUCCCAUCAAACGGCUUCUCAGUGGGGAUUGAGGGCUGCAACUCGCCCUCAUGAACGCGGAAUUGGUAGUAAUCGCGGAUCAGCUAUGCCGCGGUGAAUACGUUCUCGGGUCUUGUACACACCGCCCUUUAAUACAUACAUCGUAUUUUACGAAGUAUAGUAAUAUAGGAAUAGGUAAGAACGCGCCUUGCAGUCAUAUCUUCUAGUGAGUUUAAAUCUCACUCCCGAUUAAAUCGGGAUAGCCAAAAAAAGACACAGUUAAUAACUUUGUCGUAGCAGUCCAGGCAAGGUAACUUACCCGGACGGAGGGCUUGAGGCAAAAGACAGGGAAAGCAUUAUAAAGGCCGACGACUUUUGUUGGGCGGUCAUAAGGAAGUCGUAAAAAAAGCCUGCUUUUCAUGCCUGGAACAGAGGAUAUGAUGACCGAGGGAGACCCUAGUAAGAUCGAGAUUAAUACUUUAGGUCGAAAGACCGCAAGCUAAGCUUACUAGGGAGUCAGCUCUUUCAUAGUACCCGCCGAUAAUUUGUAUAAUAAUUUAAGCGGGGAAGGGAAGAACGUGAUGUUAACACCAACUUGAGAAUAGGUAUGAAUAAACAUUACGGCUCGCUAAGUGCGGGAAAGCCGCUCGCUUAGUGGGAACGCGCAAUAGUCUCAAUGAAGCGCAAUCCGUCAAGUCAGCAAAGUUGGGGGCACCCGAACCCCGAGCGAUCGGGGGAAGGUGACACCAGCGAUGAGGAUUAAGUCGUAACAAGGUAUCCGUUCUGGAAGGAGCGGAUGGAUCACCUCCUUUCUAAG
rnacentral:rRNA from 2 species